GAGUUUGAUCGUGGCUCAGAUUGAACGCUGGCGGCAUGCCUUACACAUGCAAGUCGAACGGCAGCACGGGAGCUUGCUCCUGGUGGCGAGUGGCGAACGGGUGAGUAAUGCAUCGGAACGUAUCCUGGAGUGGGGGAUAACGUAGCGAAAGUUACGCUAAUACCGCAUAUUCUGUGAGCAGGAAAGCGGGGGACCUUCGGGCCUCGCGCUCUUGGAGCGGCCGAUGUCGGAUUAGCUAGUUGGUGAGGUAAAGGCCUCACCAAGGCGACGAUCCGUAGCAGGUCUGAGAGGAUGAUCUGCCACACUGGAACUGAGACACGGUCCAGACUCCUACGGGAGGCAGCAGUGGGGAAUUUUGGACAAUGGGGGCAACCCUGAUCCAGCCAUGCCGCGUGAGUG
rnacentral:rRNA from 1 species